UCAAAAUAUUCAUAACCGUUUUCGUAUUCAGAUUUAAACAGGAAGUGGAAAACAGUAAAAAAAAUCAGGGCUGCUGAAAAAAGAAAAUAUUUUUCAUUCACAAAUUAUAACACAUUUAUUUUUAUUUAUUCAUUCAUUUAUUUACUUAUUUUGGUAUUUUAAUUAUAUAACUUUUUUUCAGCUCCUGAACCAGACGCCCUGUGAAACUUUCUGGAAAGCUUUCUAUCUUCUAUCUAAUGUGACUGAGUAAAAAAGCUAACUAUGUUUCAAAACAACAACGUCUUUCCCAAAUCAAGAAACUGUUAUUUACCGUUGACAACAACAGCCACCUAAUAAUAUUUGAUCAGAUUUACUUUAGCUUUUAUGUUUGUUACAUUCCAGAAAGGUCAGAAAAGUUCACUGGACACGCUAUCAGAAUCUGUUAUAAAGCUGGACAUGGUACCGGCUCCAUGAGGACAGAUAACAUCAGAGAAAAUGGCUUAUUGACCUCACUGUAAAGUACCACUAGUACUGGCAUGUUAUUAACUGGUAGUGUGCAGUUCUAUAAUUCUUUAUUUUCUGUAAUAAAAUGCACUAUAUCUGCAGUGUUGGUUGUAGAAACUUGAACACAGAUCAGAGUGUAUUGUUUGUAGGCUGCUCGCUCUCACGUGUGUGUGUUAUGUACAUGACCUAAUGGUCUUAUAAUAAAUUGUAGCUGAGAGAUUGUGGAGUGCAGAAAGACGUCCCUGCUCCUGUAAAUGUGCUGAUGUGGUGUCCUGUCCUCUGAUUUCUGUGUGUGAGAGAAACACACUGACAUUUCUGUUACAUGUUAAACUUUAGCUGUAUUAUGGCUGUGUUUGUGUGUUUGAGAUCAGUGUUCUGAUAUUUCAUCAUUUCUCUUCCAGGCUGCGUGAGUGUAAUCUGACAGAGGAAAGCUGUAGAGUUCUGUCCUCAGUUCUCAGCUCAAACUCCUCCAGUCUGAGAGAACUGGACCUGAGUUACAAUAAACUGCAGGAUUCAGGAGUGAAGCUGCUCUCUGCUGGACUGGAGAAUCCACACUGUACACUGGAGAUACUGAGGAUGCCUUACUGCAGUAUUACAGAUGAAGGUUGUGCUGCUCUGGCUUCAGCUCUGAGGUUAAACUCCUCAUCACACCUGAGAGAACUGGAUCUGUACUAUAGUAUUCCAGGAGAAGCAGGAGUGAAGCUGCUCUCUGAUCUACUGAAGGAUCCACACUGUAAACUGGAGACACUACACAUUAAGGAUCGCAAACUCACCAGGACUGGCGUAUGACAGGAGUCUCACCUCUGUCGUGGCAAACACUCUUCAAUUCAGAAUAAAAAAGACUCCCAAAGACUAGGGGUUCUGGAAGCCAAAAAUCAAUAGACUUUAUUGAAACUUGAAAUUUAUUGAAACAACAAAGCCGAGAUGGUCUGCAGAGCAUCUGAUUUACAUAGUCGUGGUUAAUGCUUUUAUACAAUUCUAAUAUUCUUUAUACAAAGCUCUCAUUGGGUGGAGUUUUCUUUUUUUUUUCUUUUAAUCACACACCUGCCUCUCGCCACAAUUAUUUCACUGUCCCCUUACAUUAGUUUUAACCGUGGCGAGGGGUCAGUAAGUUUAAUUUUUAAAAAAAUUUGCCUUCAGACAUUGGCCUUCAGACACUAGCCUUCAUCUUAAAAAACAUCUCAAAAACACCACCUGCAAGGUUACACCAGUUUGUUUUCACAGAAAUAUCCUUGUAAAAUUAUAUGCAUAGAAUUGAUACAGUGUAGUGUAUAAAAGAUCACAGUACUGUUGCAUAGAUACUGACUGACAUGAUACUGAUUUCAAAUACUGAUUGACAAGCAUAUUGAUAAAGAUAUCAGAGAAAUUAUUCCAUACCUUAAAC